UGGGGACGUAGUUCAGUUGGUUAGAAUGCUGCCCUGUCACGGCAGAGGUCGCGGGUUCGAGCCCCGUCGUCCCCGCCAU
rnacentral:tRNA from 1 species